rnacentral:rRNA from 1 species
AAGCCCUUACGGGGGAAAGAUUUAUCGGGGAAGGAUUGGCCCGCGUUGGAUUAGCUAGUUGGUGGGGUAAAGGCCUACCAAGGCGACGAUCCAUAGCUGGUCUGAGAGGAUGAUCAGCCACAUUGGGACUGAGACACGGCCCAAACUCCUACGGGAGGCAGCAGUGGGGAAUAUUGGACAAUGGGCGCAAGCCUGAUCCAGCCAUGCCGCGUGAGUGAUGAAGGCCUUAGGGUUGUAAAGCUCUUUCACCGGAGAAGAUAAUGACGGUAUC